rnacentral:snRNA from 1 species
GGAUGUGAGGUCAAUCUGGCUGCAACAUCUGUCACCUCACUGAUUUCCAUGGUUGAUACAGCUGAUCCACCUGGCUAGGUGAUGUCCCCUUCCUCCCUCACUACUCCAUGGGCAUCCCUCCCGAAGCUGUGUGCUUGGUCGGAGAGGACAACCUUCCCCAAUAGAGGACAAUUCUCCCAUCAAGGAUACACGAGUAGCUGAUGCUCCUCUGCCAGAACCUCCAAACUCUCAAGGAAGUGUUGUGUAGGCUGUUGUGUAUAUGAAUCUAGAGUUCAGGGAGAGGGUCUGGUUGGGAAAUACAAAUUUAUAUCAUUGAGGA